ensembl:lncRNA
UGACAACGUGUGUAUAUUAUAUCCACUUCCUUCUGGGGAACGAAUAGUAAACAACAUUUUCCUCAACGCAUAGCCCCAUUACAACUGAUAAAUCGUUGUUUCGGAGAGAGGCCACUAUUAAGAGUUCUCUUUCCUGAGAGACCUAAGUGCUCUGAAUGGUGUGCGUGGAGCGCCGGGGGUACGAGGCUGAGAGUCUCCAUUCAUCUUUCUAGAAGAUAAGACAGUAUUUAGGACUGGCACAUAAAUGGCACGAUGGAAAAGGAAGCCGGACCAGAGCAUGUGACAUUGACAGCACGACCAAGAGACACCUAACUUGAGUUUGAACUGGAAGCUACAACCUUCGGA